rnacentral:tRNA from 2 species
GGCAGGUUGCCCGAGUGGCCAAUGGGAGCGGACUGUAAAUCCGUCGGCUUACGCCUACACUGGUUCGAAUCCAGUACCUGCCACCA